CCAUCCCUAGCGCCCCCAGCCCCGACAACCCCCAUCCCCGGCGACCCCCAUCCCCGGCACCCCAUCCCCACCCACCACCGUUGCGCCACCGGGCCGGCGCGACCAGUACCAUCGUCGAUCCCGCGAACCAUCUCCGCUCCAGGGGCGGCUCACCACCUCCUCCCGCCGUCCGGCGCCUCGAGCCUCCCUCCUUCUGCCGUCACCCCCAAGCCCCCGUGAUUUCCUGGAGGUGCUCCGCUCGCUGCCGCUCGAACUUGAACUUGCUGCUCCUUCAUCCCCGCAAGACCGCUCCUCCUGCCAUCCUCGCCCACGAGCUCGUUGUGCUGCACAUGCUCCAAACAACCUCUUCUCUGGUUUCGACUCCCUGUAACACUUGCUCCCUUGUGCUUGCAAAUUGCUAUAAUUUACAAUACUUAGCAUUUGCAGUACCGAUGCAUCUUCUUCGCUAUCAGUUCAAGUGAUCAAAAUGGUAUUAAAAAAACAAGCCCAAAUACGGAGGCAAGAUAAUUGAUAUUGUGUCAAGAGAUGUUCAUCGGCCAGAGGAUAAGGCCCAAGCCCUGGCGGAUGUGAACGGCACAAUAUUGUACAUUGCGCUAAUAGUUGUGACCGGGUCAGUUUGCACAGCUCUUCGGGCAUGGCUAUUCAAUUCUACUAGUGAGAGAGUCAUUGCUCGACUUAGACAGGACUUGUUCAGUCAUCUCAUAAACCAGGCAAGUGGCUUAAUUUUGUUUAUGUCUUCUACAAGGAUGGUCUCAUACCCUGCCUGCUUCCCCUCCUCACCUCUACCUCAUUGUGGUUCGUUGCUAAGAAAAAGAACGACCGCGUACAGUUCCCGUUGGUUGCCUUGCUGCCCUGGGGCGCGAGCUCAUCCACCAGGGGUGUUGGCAGCUGUCCAAGUGGAGCGUUGACGCCAGUACAAGUAGAAUCGUGGGUUGCGGCCACCAUCUUCACCAAGCGCCGCACAUCCGUCCAAGUCGAGCACACACACAGGGAGAACACACCAGCCCCUUUGCUUUGCACAUUGCUUGGUUAUGCAUGACUGCUGAUGGAUGCAGCAAGCGUUUAUAUUAGUUUGAUCUUGUGCAAGACUCAAUUUUGUCUCGGUUUUUGUGGAUGGUAGCAGGCAAUACAUCCAACAUUCUUGCAGCGAUAGCGGCCACCACUAAGGGCAUUUGCGUCCAGCACUCGAGCUACAUGCUCGACGGUUGCACACUGCCGCCAUGGGCAUGCACAAAGAUAUUAAGUAGAAGUUAGUUAGUUCGUUUUUUAUUGAUUUACCUUGUUUAAGUAGUAGUGCAGCAAUAAAAGGUGUAGUUGUACUGAAGUUUUAGUUGCUAUAUGAGGAACCCAGAGGCCAUUUAUUUUGGUUUUCAGUUCAGCUUGUCUAUUCUUUUCGGUCUGGAUGCUUUAUUGCGCAUAAUCUUGAGGAAAUCCCCAAAAAUCAUAUGUCUCAUGUGAAUCUUGUUCAGUUCAUCAGUUCGUUGGAAAAAUAUAUCAUCUACAAAAAGAAUUGCAAUCUGGUAAUGUGAAGUAUGUUGUAGUCUAUACCUGUAGAGUGCAUUAUUGUAGUGUUGGUAUUUGUGGUCACUCUUUUGUGUUAGAAACAAUGUAUAUAUAUUUAUAUUUUGAAGUGUCAGUACUUGAGAACAAAAGGUUCAGUUUUCAAACUUUAAACAGUUCAUCGCAAGCUUUCGGUGUAGCAAGACGUGCGCCAAUGUGUGUGUGCACUUGAUGCAGCUCUAUUGCAGUAUAUGAAGUUCAUGCGAUUUUCAUGCAUCAACAAUCUGAAGCACCAUUCUUUUCUGAAUUUUGUAUUUAAGAAAUAUCACCCUUUCUAUAUUUUGAACACUAGCUAGUGCUUUCUUUUCUUGUUAUAGUCAAAAAGUAGUACAUGUAUGUAGUUAUGGUGAUAGUGAUACUAACCAGACCAAGCUACUUCAAUUGUUUUACCAAAUUCUAGAAAUUCUCCAUAUACGGCAAGAGCCAACCGGACGUGUUUGUCUAGCCUGACUUGGGACGGCUUCUUUGCCACUGCAGGUUAGAAAGUUCAACAUGUGAUUGGAAUUCAAUGCGAAAAACUGCUGGUUAGAAGUUCAUCUUCUGUUCUGCCCCUAGAAAGAAGUUUGUCUUGUAAAGGUUGAAGCUAAUGGGCGAGGAAGCUUUAUAAGAAAUUGAUUUGCAUGUUCAUUGAAAAAGUUUGGUUUGCCUGUUCCGUGAAAAUGUCUUGCUAAAGAAAUAUCUCUUGUGCACUUAUUUAUUCGCCUGAAUAUUUGGUUUGAUUCUCAGGAGUGAAAUGUCUUGCUAAUCAAAGUUUGGUUUGAUUCUCAGGUGCGAGAAAUAUCUCUUGUGCACUAGUGGUUGGCUGCUCCCAGCGGUAAAUGUAGUCGGAUUCAGCAGCUAGCUCUUCCUCGAGCAACCAUUUGGAGAACUUUAUUGUCUUCUUGUGGUGGUGAUUGAUUUUAGGAUAAGUAAAUUUGAUGUUGGUAGCUAGCUUACGUAUGGAACCUGCAAGUUCAAUAUUGGUAUUAGAUUCAGUUUUUGUUGUAUAAAUGUCACAAUGUUCACAUUUAUUUGGGUAAAAGUUUAUUUUAGUUCAGCUACAGAAACCAUGCAGGUUCAGUGAUGAUGAUACCAUAAGUUCGGACAAGAAAAUUUAUGUAUAUGAUGAGAUGAUUGCUACUUCUUCAAGGUAUA